GUGGUGAGACAGUCCCAGCCUGCUGGGAUAGGGGCCACACACAUUCCUGAAAUAGAUUUCCUUGGGGUCAAGUUUCUCUCGAGGUGGUAUUUCGAAAGCUAAACAUGAAGGGGUAAUGAAUUACUGCUCAGGAUAAAGCCAGUCCUCAGCUAUUCACAGUUUGGGAAAUCUGGCUCGGAUGCCUGAUAAAUUCCACCAUUCACUCAGCUGCUGGAAUUUGAAGAAUCUCUCCCCAUCCUUCAGCUGGUAUUUUCUUAAAAGUAACUAUCAGGCAUUAUCAAAGGUGGGGAAUUCCCGAGGGCCCUAACAUGGCAGCUGGAUCAAAGCGGGGCCCAGAUAAGAUCGACCAUCUUCCCACCUGCGGGGAGAGGAGCGCUUCGGGCGCAUCGCAGCUGGCAGCGCCUGCCCGGAGCACCCCAGCUCCCCUGGCAGCCCAGAUCCUCCCCAGGCACAGCAGGGCACUUCCCAGCCACGCAGGAGGGAUGGCACGAGAUCUACCUACAGCCUAACACUGCAGAAGACAGCUUGUGUCUGAAGGAGAUGCUCUGAAUGCGGUUUUCCACAGCUCCUGCACAGUUUACAUUCCUUUAAACUUCCCACAAAGCUGAAAUGCCUUUAAAGUCCUCUAAAAGAUACCAGGUCUCUGAUGGUUUCUCACCAAAAGAUAGCUGAGACUUCAUGUUUCAUCUUAAAUCAAGAGAGCCUGAGUGAUUCCAUGUUUCUGCAGCAGAUGCUGAAAUCCAUCACAGAAAAGUGACACGAGAACACAAGACUCCUGCUUCCCAAUCAAGGCUGUUUGGGCAAACUUUGCAAACAUAAAUAGAUGCAUAUUCAUAUUUACACAUUCAUCUCAGUUACAGGCAAUAGCUGUGCAGAGAGGAGCUGGCACUGCCUGUUUAGAUUUCUCUUUUACUUUGAGUUUUCUAUAUGUCGACCAGGGUAAAUAAAAAAUAAAGAAUUCUGCA
rnacentral:lncRNA from 1 species